GUGGCCAUUGACCUGCAGGUGGGAACCGCAGGGAGCCUCGGAGCGUUGACCGGGCAGCUCCGAGGAAGCGCAGCCUGCACAGCGGCAGCACCCGGGCGAGCCUGGGUGCCGCGCUGCGCGCAGCUGCACGGCUAAAGAGCAAGCCCGGACAGGGUCACUAGAGAUCGGUAAUUGUUAGGCAGCCAUGCAAGAGUGGAAAAAAACCCACAGCUUAAAUACUCCUCCCCCAGCCUAACCCCCAGGAUUAUGCCUCUGAUAACCACGGUGGUAGCUGGCCCCCUAUUGGGUUCAUCUCCGAGUCUGCUGUGGGUGCAGUGAAGUGUUGCCCGGUUUCUUUAAUGAUCAGUAUUACGCUUUUUAUAUCUUUAAGGUUUCUGAAACGGCUGUUGAGCCUGUUUUUCUGUGCCAGUAUCAGGCAUCAGCGGGCCCUGGCGCUGAAGCAGACCCCAGCGGGACGCCUGGAAGGCAGUGCUGUGCCAGGAAGCUGGACUGCUGAAUCUCAAAUUAUGGCUUACAGGCCACUGGUUACCUGUAAAAGCUAUAAUCAAUUUAUCACUGAUGCGUUAAUAAAGUUUGCUGACGUGGAGGCACGGUCAUCUCUGAAAAAUUCUAAAGAAGAGGGGUUCCUCAUUCAACAAGAUUUGGAAGCUGUUGGCUAGAUAACUCUCCUAGUGCGCCUGGGGCUAUAGCACAUCAGUUCACUCAAGUAGCGGUGGUUCGGUGGCAAUCCAGUGUUUUACAACGCCCACAGCAGACAGCCUGACAUACCGCAACGAAAGAUGGAUGGCACUUUCUGAAACUGGUCAGCUAGCAUAACUUGGGAGAAACUGCACUCCGCUCAGGUCUCCUCUUGCGUUGCUUCAGCUGACACACAACUCUUACUUGCUUGGAGCUGGUGCAUAAAGUUGUUAAAUGCCUGUGAUGACUGUUUUCCACUCCAGUAAGGUGUAAUAAUUUGAAUAUCUAUCUAGAUAUUCCAAGGCACGCUAUUAUAGACCAACAUGCACACUCACAGAGAUUCACAGACUGGAAUAUACAGAUACUCUGUGCUGGAUAUCUGUACACUUUAGUCACAGAUACCUUUAUAUAAAGUGUAAUGAAGUACCAUAAAGGAAUCAUCAUCAUGACAAUGCAUUCCUAAUAAAGGGUCCUCCAUGUACA
rnacentral:lncRNA from 1 species